UGGAAGGGUAGCGAAGAGGCUAAACGCGGCGGACUGUAAAUCCGCUCCUUCGGGUUCGGGGGUUCGAAUCCCUCCCCUUCCAUAGU
rnacentral:tRNA from 1 species